rnacentral:rRNA from 1 species
GACGAACGCUGGCGGCGUGCUUAACACAUGCAAGUCGAACGGAAAGGCCCUGCUUGCAGGGUACUCGAGUGGCGAACGGGUGAGUAACACGUGGGUGAUCUGCCCUGCACUUCGGGAUAAGCCUGGGAAACUGGGUCUAAUACCGGAUAGGAGCCAUUUUUAGUGUGAUGGUUGGAAAGUUUUUUCGGUGUAGGAUGAGCUCGCGGCCUAUCAGCUUGUUGGUGGGGUAAUGGCCUACCAAGGCGGCGACGGGUAGCCGGCCUGAGAGGGUGGACGGCCACAUUGGGACUGAGAGACGGCCGAGACUCCUACGGGAGGCAGCAGUGGGGAAUAUUGCACAAUGGGCGCAAGCCUGAUGCAGCGACGCCGCGUGGGGGAUGACGGCCUUCGGGUUGUAAACUCCUUUCGCCAGGGACGAAGCUUUUUGUGACGGUACCUAGAUAAGAAGCACCGGCUAACUACGUG